rnacentral:rRNA from 1 species
UACGUAGGCAGCGAGCGUUGUUCGGAGUUACUGGGCGUAAAGGGUGUGUAGGCGGUUCUUUAAGUUUGGUGUGAAAUCUCCCGGCUUAACCGGGAGGGUGCGCCGAAUACUGAGGGACUAGAGUGCGGGAGAGGAAAGUGGAAUUCCUGGUGUAGCGGUGAAAUGCGUAGAUAUCUGGAGGAACACCGGUGGCGAAGGCGGCAUCCUGGACCGGCAUUGACGCUGAGGUGCGAAAGCCAGGGGAGCAAACGGG